UACGGAGGAUCCGAGCGUUAUCCGGAUUUAUUGGGUUUAAAGGGAGCGUAGGUGGAAUGUUAAGUCAGCCUGUGAAAGUUUGCGGCUCAACCGUAAAAUUGCAGUUGAUACUAUCAUUCUUGAGUACAGUAUAGGUGGGCGGAAUUCGUGGUGUAGCGGUGAAAUGCUUAGAUAUCACGAAGAACUCCGAUUGCGAAGGCAGCUCACUGGCCUGUAACUGACACUGAUGCUCGAAAGUGUGGGUAUCAAACAGG
rnacentral:rRNA from 1 species